AUAUUCCUUAAGCACAUGGUUUGACAGGUUGUGUAAGUUUGUUCAAAUUUUCCAUCUUUCUGACCGCAGUCUUCUAAUCUGUAAAUUGGGAGGAUAGAAUGAAAUGAUCUGUAAUGUUAAAAUGGGGUCUUCCGUGGUGUCUGUCCUCCCCCACCUCCAUGUCUGCCUCCCUCCGUGCCACCAUCGCCCUUGCCCAGAAGGUGAAGAUUCUCCCCUUGCGGAGCACCCCAGGGACAUGGACCUGCGUGCUUCUCUUUGGCGCCGCCCUCCAGAACUCCAUGUGCCUGAGCGGGGAGAAUCCUCCGGACUGUGGGGACCAGAUGCCUUGUGCAGAAGAGCCGGACCCACCAGGGUGCCCAGAGGGUGGACUCUGUCCUGAUUCCCCACCUGCCCACUGCCCCCCCGGAACGUUCUUUUCUGGAGCCAGUCCCCACAAUGCCUCCUUCUGCCACCUCUGCCCUCAGGGAUUCUUCAACCCCUGGCCUGGCCAGGAUGCCUGCUUCCCCUGUGGCUCAGAGGCCACCCAGACAGAGGAAGGCAAGGACACGUGUGUAUGCCUGGGGUCUGGCCGAGUGUUCCAGCCCAGUGACGGGAAGUGCCCCUGCCUCCCAGGCUACCAAGAUGUUGGAGAGCCAAGGGGCUGUGUCCAGCGGGAAUACAAGACUUGUAAGCAUGGGGCCACCCGGAACCAGGAGGGGCUCUGUCUGACCAAGGAUCAGUGGAAUGACCACUGUGCCCAUGAGGUUUGCGCCGCUCCAGAGGACGCACGUGGCUAUGACCCGGGCCUGGGGCUCUGUCUGUGCUGGGGACCUCACUCAAAUGAGAUAUGCGGUCCCCUGUGCCCCAAGAGACAGAGACAGGUCCUGCAGCUCAGCUGCCCCGAGGGCAACCCGCAGAUUUCCAUCACUGAAGACACCGGAAGCCAGGGGUUUUUCCUUCCAGACGGGCCUUCUUCACCCCGUGCUGUGGGCCACCCCUGCCACUUGGACCAAAGGCAGAAUCCUGUCCCGCUGUAC
ensembl:lncRNA